rnacentral:rRNA from 1 species
CACGUAGGGCGCAAGCGUUGUCCGGAAUUAUUGGGCGUAAAGCGCGCGUAGGCGGUUACUUAAGUCGAAUGUGAAAGCCCUCGGCUUAACUGAGGAAGUGCAUCCGAAACUGAGUAGCUAGAGUACGAAAGAGGGUCGCGGAAUUCCCGGUGUAGAGGUGAAAUUCGUAGAUAUCGGGAGGAACACCGGUGGCGAAGGCGGCGACCUGGGUCGAGACUGACGCUGAGGCGCGAAAGCGUGGGGAGCAAACAGG